AUAAAGUGUUCAAAUAUAGAUUUUGCUGUAAUAUUUUGCUUUGUGUUAUGUUUGGAUAACGAUUCUAGUUCGCACUGCCAUAUUAACAAGUAAAAAAGUGUCCAAAUCACUUAAUUUUUGAACCGUUUGUAUAUAGUUUUAUCAUUUAAAACAAACAAUUUUGUGUAUUUGUCAUAUAUCUCUUUAAAAUAUAUGCAACUUAGUCUGAUAUUCUAUUAAAUGUACGCGACGUUCGUGCGCUUUUAAUACUGUUUGAGGCCACUCUUUAAUAAGAAUGCAUUAUUUCUGCACACUAAACGCUUGGACCGAGACUUGGUUUGGGGGUGAAGAGUGGAGCUGUGGUCAGGGAGAGGUUAACUGGCUCGUGCGCUCUGGUGGCUGGGCAGGCGCGGAGCUGCGGCGCGCUGACGCGGGGAUGGAGAGCUCAGAUGCGCUGCUGCUCCGCCAGGAUCCCGCGGCCCGGGCCGACCUUUCCCUACUGCUUUCAACGCUCUUCUGCGCCGGAACUUUACAUCACGGACAGAAAGACACGCAGGGUCAUCCCCCAAGGGCGUUGAUCUGGGUCAGAUCAUUUAUCGCUGAUCACUCCACCCCACCUUUCCCAGCCUUUCAUCAGGCAUUUCCUGGACUUCCUGGUUUCUUGGCCCAGUCCAGCUGA
ensembl:lncRNA